CGUGAUUGUGGAAACAGUAGCAAGGGAAACCUGCCAAAUGACAGACAAAUGGGUCCAAGAGGUUUCCUCAGCAUAUUCAGCUUUUAAAAGAGAAGAGCCAGAGGAGGCAUUUUCCCCCUGGAAAAAUUCAGCUUUAAACUGAAUGCAAAGUGCACGGUUGGGGGUGCAGGAAAUUGACCAGGGCCCUGAAGUCACAGCAAGGACCCUCAGGAGGAAGAGGAGGAGGGGAGAAAGGAGAGCAAACUGAGGCUCCUAUCAGCAGGAACUGUGAAAUCAACCAAUUUAACAACCAACUUCUGCUUUCAACUUUAAAGCUAAAUUUUCAUGGCAGUUUUUCAAUCCAAACAGCCAGCAGUUAGAACAGCCUAGGAAAAACACUCCUAAAACAAAUGAAUAGAAUACAUACAAAAUGGGUUUAUUUGUACUUCCAUCUAUUUUAAUUUAUAAUCCAGCUCUUUUAACACACUGAAAAAUAGCCAAGAAUUCACAGCAGAAUUUAUAUGGUCUAGAGAUCUGAAAAGGCUGUAAUUGCAGAAUCACUCAAACCGUUGGAUUUUUUUCAGGAAGCUAUUUUUAGAAUUCUAACUUUCAUUGGGAAAAAAGAACGAAUUUCUAGUUCUGAUGACAUUUGGGAAAAUGUUAUUCUUGGAAGCAAAAAAAGGGCAGACCUCUGUCUGAAAAGCUGAUUUGAUCCAAAUAUUUGAAAGGUUUUUUUGAAGGAUUGGCCCGAGAAGAAAAAGACCACCAAGUACAGACUUUCUCCUUAACCGUCUACAAUGCCGCCAUCGUCUUCACCAUCAUCAUCAUCAUCAAUCAUCAAAAACACGGCUAUCAGCUUUAACUAGGAUGGUGCACAAUUACUAAUAAACAAUACAAAUGACCUGAAAUAAGGUUAUGAUUCAGCAUUUU